rnacentral:rRNA from 1 species
GACGAACGCUGGCGGCGUGCCUAAUACAUGCAAGUCGAGCGAGCGGAACCAACAGAUUUACUUCGGUAAUGACGUUGGGAAAGCGAGCGGCGGAUGGGUGAGUAACACGUGGGGAACCUGCCCCUAAGUCUGGGAUACCAUUUGGAAACAGGUGCUAAUACCGGAUAAUAAAGCAGAUCGCAUGAUCAGCUUUUGAAAGGCGGCGUAAGCUGUCGCUAAGGGAUGGCCCCGCGGUGCAUUAGCUAGUUGGUAAGGUAACGGCUUACCAAGGCGACGAUGCAUAGCCGAGUUGAGAGACUGAUCGGCCACAUUGGGACUGAGACACGGCCCAAACUCCUACGGGAGGCAGCAGUAGGGAAUCUUCCACAAUGGACGCAAGUCUGAUGGAGCAACGCCGCGUGAGUGAAGAAGGUUUUCGGAUCGUAAAGCUCUGUUGUUGGUGAAGAAGGAUAGAGGUAGUAACUGGCCUUUAUUGACGGUAAUCAACCAGAAAGUCACGGCU